AGAGCGGCGGACGGGUGAGUAACGCGUGGGUAACCUGCCCUGUACACACGGAUAACAUACCGAAAGGUAUGCUAAUACGAGAUAAUAUGCUUUUAUCGCAUGGUAGAAGUAUCAAAGCUCCGGCGGUACAGGAUGGACCCGCGUCUGAUUAGCUAGUUGGUAAGGUAACGGCUUACCAAGGCGACGAUCAGUAGCCGACCUGAGAGGGUGAUCGGCCACAUUGGAACUGAGACACGGUCCAAACUCCUACGGGAGGCAGCAGUGGGGAAUAUUGCACAAUGGGCGAAAGCCUGAUGCAGCAACGCCGCGUGAGCGAUGAAGGCCUUCGGGUCGUAAAGCUCUGUCCUCAAGGAAGAUAAUGACGGUACUUGAGGAGGAAGCCCCGGCUAACUACGUGCCAGCAGCCGCGGUAAUACGUAGGGGGCUAGCGUUAUCCGGAAUUACUGGGCGUAAAGGGUGCGUAGGUGGUUUCUUAAGUCAGAGGUGAAAGGCUACGGCUCAACCGUAGUAAGCCUUUGAAACUGGGAAACUUGAGUGCAGGAGAGGAGAGUGGAAUUCCUAGUGUAGCGGUGAAAUGCGUAGAUAUUAGGAGGAACACCAGUUGCGAAGGCGGCUCUCUGGACUGUAACUGACACUGAGGCACGAAAGCG
rnacentral:rRNA from 1 species